AAACAAAAAAAAAACUUCUCAUAGAAAUUCCUGUGAUUAAAUUGAGUAUUAAUUAAUUAAUAGACGUCUCUGAGAAAAAUUAAUUAAUGAUGUUUGCUGUGUAACAAACGAAGAGUCGAAGUUGGUGUUGGUGGGGGAGCGCUGUCUCCAGCUGUGCUAUGCUGGCUCUUUGGUCUUUGCUUUUCUCCCCGGCUAUUUCUAUAUGCGCUUAGACCCUCCCCUGAAGUGAAAAUAACAGUCGAGGGACUAAGUUCGCUGACAUCUCUCGCUCGUCGCUGAGAAUUUUAGAGCAAAGAGACCCUCCUUUCGUUUCCCUUUUGUUCUUUUUUCUUUUAAUAUGCCAUUAUUGAUGCCGUAGUGGACAAGCUGUUUUGCAUUUCUCACUUUUAUUUCACUUCAGGGUCCUUCCGUUAUCCAACCCCUAAUUUACUGCCAUUUAUUACUAUUUGACUACUGCCAUUUAAUGUUUAGUCCAUUUUAUGUUUCAAUCUCUAUAUACAAUUAAGUUUUUGUUUCACUAUGCAAUUUUUGACCUAUAAUUGAAACCUGUUUCCUAUUUCUCAUUUUACUUUAUUUAUAUUUAGAAUCCUUCUUUUAUUUAGCACUUGAUUUAUUGUCCCAUUCUCGCUAUAAAAUUACUUCCAUUUCAAUAUUAGGGGUGGGCAAACCCCAACAUGGUUUAAUGCCAUUUAACAUUGUUUAGCUGAUAUUUGAUAUCUAUUUGGCUAUAUAGUAUUACUAUGUUAUUUUGUGUAUAUAUAUAUAUUAGUACAAUGUGUAUAUAUAUAUAUUAGUACAAUAUGUUAUUUUGUGGAUAUGAUUGCAGCAUACAAAAUCAAAAAAAAAAGAUAAUACAAAAGGUAAAACACCGUAGUUUUUUUUAGAUGAAGCCUUCAGAAUAAUGAGCCACCUAGUUAGCUGUGGACAUGCAUGGCCGAUGAAAAUUACUCAUUUAAGAGAUCAUAGAUAUUGUGGAGCAGCGGUACAGAGCCAUAUAUAUUUUCAAACAAAGUUAUAACACUUAUAAAUGGUUAAUCAAAUCAAGGAUCCAGUAAAAAAAAUAAUUUUAUCAAUAAAGAUUUAAAUAUAAAGUGAUGUCAAUUAACCUCGAUUUCCCAACAGUAAAAUAUGGUCAUGCUUCAUUCACCUGUCAAAUCAUAAUGCAUGCAAGCAUGGACCAGAGGUGAACGGCAAUUGAAACGCUCCUCUGGAAUGUUUCCAUUUACGGCUAUGAAACAUCCCCCAAAUCAUUAAAUUCUGUAUCGGGUACUGGGAGCAAGAAUAACGUGGAGGAGACGACCGGAAAUAAAUACGCUCUCUUCCAGUGCGGGUUUCGUUCACCCGACGGUAGAUUUUCUCGGCUGUUCAUCCGCCUUUCAAAACUUCCCAGAUCCGACCAGGGACUUUGGAUAUCUAUCUAGUUGUUCUAAAAUCUAAAUAACGUAAUCUUAUCUUAUCCUCUUCAUAAUUUUUAUUAUUAUUAUUAUCGUCGUCGUCAUCAUUGUUGUUAUAGCUGGAUUCCGUUGACAUGGCGACCGGACACUCCGACCAACGACUCGGUCCCGACGCGUGGAGUGGUGGUCCCAUCGAGUGGACCUCUCCGCCGUACGUCCGAUAUCGGUUGAACCGCUAGGAAAGCGCACAUUUCGCGUGAAACUCAUCCCUUGUGGUCCCCAUGAGCUGGUGAGAGGGUGCAAGUCUGGGUGCUAACCAGGUGAAAGUAGAAAUUAUGUUACUUUCCUACGCCAUUUUUUUAUGGUACACCAGCUCACAUGCAGCAGCAGGAGGUACGAAUGCGCGGCCAAUAAAAUCAAAAAAUAAUAGCUCACUAAAAGGCUUUGAUAAAAAUUCUUGGUCCUCCUAUAUAAAUUCUAAGUGGUGAGCAGCAAAAAACGCGACCUAAUCCGCCGCACUAUUCGCUAGACUUUCGUGGCCGUAUAGAAACCACACUUUUUCAAUAGUCGCAGACGUCGUAGAGCAUUGGCCGUCUCUCCCAGCACCUCUCUGACUCCAGAUCUACUCGAAUACCGUUGCUGAGUCACUCUCAAAAAAAGACGAUUUGUACCUAAGAUGCACCUCGCGAAAGUGAUACUCUCUCAAGCAAUUCUGAGCGCACAGACAGCAAUCAUGUCGAAGACGCAUCGGCUCGACCGCGGAUUGAAAGGUCAGCAGGAAUGCUGAAAAGAUUCGGCUAAAUUACGAAAAUGCUCCAGAACGGGGGAUUGUCGCAGCACAGAUCGCAAAGCACUCCAUACUCAUCAUCGAUCCGGUAGCACAGAUUUCAAAGGGGAUCAGUGGAUGAUCCAACGGUGCAUUCGGGCGAAGAAAGCUGAAUCCUUCCUUCUUCCGCGCGAAAGAUACGCCCCCCGACAUGGCGCAAGGCAAAUUAAUACGUUGGGCAACAAGAGCGGCACAACUGGCGGAGAAACGCGUGAGAAAGGGGAGGGCGCUGAGAAGAGAGUGAAAUCCCGUGAACAAAUGCAAUGCAAAUCCCCGCAGUAUCACCUCUCCCACUGUCCCGUAUUCUUGUCCUUUUUCUAAGUGACAUGAUAACAUCCUUAUGGGGAUGCAUCUAUGCUCCUAGUCCAAGGUGUUAGCCUAGAUAUACAAAUAUAAUUAAUAAAUCAAUAAUACAAUGGUCCUAAUAUUUAUGAAGAGUAAAUAAAAAGAAUAAAUUAGUAAAUUAUUUACUUGACAAUAGAAUAAUAAAAAAAUAAGAAAAAAUGGUAUGUAGAUCGAAGCAUGCUGACGUGCUGUCCUAGAAAAGUUUAUAUCUCCUACACAUGGAUUUGCUGGCAUAGAUCUCCUAGAGAUACGACGACCUAGUACAGAACCUCAUCUUCUCCAUCAGUGCGCCUCCAGGAGACGCUUGCAGAUAGCUCAAAAGAAACUCGAAAAAAUAAUGAAAAUUAUGAUGAGAAGUAAAUAAGAACAAGAGGAAGAAAAGAAAUUUUUUGUCCCUUUGAAAUGAUCCCUAGAGCCCUUUGUUAAAUUGCUCGUGGGCCACCCAAAAAAGUUAACAGGCGUGUCAAAAGAAGUAGACGCAGGCCAAAAGAAGCAGAAUUUUGCUAAAAGAAGAAAAGAGCCUGUUGACGCGGCCCAAUCGCGCGGACAGCGCGCGAUCGCAUGCGGACGGGACAAGUGGCAAACAUCCAAGCACAAGCAAUGGGUCAAAGAAGGAAGGAACGUGUGCAUAAUCCAUGAAGGAGUCCGUAGACUCUUCCAUAAAAGCCAAACGAGCAGAAGCAUGGGCGGCCAAGAUGCAACAUGCCGCCGGAUCAAAGGAGCACAAAAAGACAUGUCAUCAAUCCGCGGGAGCCAGCAAAUUCAGCACAUGGCGGCAAGGGAUCUGACUUAGUUUGAAUCCCCUUGCGGCUGAUUAGGAAGAUUAUUUGAAUUUUAAAUUGUUGCCGCCAAUAAACUUAUUCAGCACAUGGGCAUUAGGCCCAUAUAAAGGGCGCGGGAAAGAACGAAAUCAAGAAAAAAAAAGUGAAGAUUAAAUGCAGCAUGGUUUUCAAAAAAAUUUAAAAAUAUUUAAUUUAAUUCAACACAAGGCACCAAAGAACUCUUGGGGUCUUCAAAUGUUGAACAUAUGCAUGCUUCCUACUCCAUGCAAGCUCCAAAUGUACCUUCUUCUUUCUUUUCUUGGUCAAUCCAUAUAUACAAGAUAUGAAUUCCUUCUUCUUGUUUUUGAUUAAUGAGACUAAGUAUGCUAUAUAUAAUCCAGUGAGAAAAGUCUUCUUCACUUGAAAAGUAAUGUGUAGUUUCGUAACAUGGUCAUGCUACAUGUAAUCAAGGGAGAAAAGUUUUCUUCACUUGAAAAGUAAUGUGUAGUUUUCUCUCGGGGGUAAGCAAGAGCUAACUCACCAUAAUAACAUUACUUUUGUUCUUAUAAUGCAGUGCAAGGUCUUUUUCAAUGUUGAUCCACCAAAUCGCUAGAAAGCUUGUGAAGCUAUUUGUUCUCCUUCUUUUAAUUGAUUUGAGCCAUUAGGUAUGAUUACGACUGUUUGUUGGUCUAGUCCUUGUAUUAAGGAUAGUUUUAGAUUGGAGAAUGGUUUGAAAUAGUCAAGUUAGAAGAGCUUGUCACUUGCCUGGAGAAUUAAAUCUAAUUAUACUAUUGAAUUGCUGAAUUAUAAAAGCAAUAAACCUGGAGUAAAUUGCAGGACCUGAAGAAAAAGUGUUGUCCAAGCAUCUUUUUCCAUCUUAUUUUCCUCCUCCACCUCUUUCCAACCCAUAAAGGGCCAAGAAUAACUUUAUUAGAGUUUUUACUUGUUCUAAUAUAUAGAUUAAUUGGGUAUUUCUGCGAGUAAAGAGGGAUGAUUCUCUAAUCAUAGCUCGUUCGACUACGUAACCUUUUAAGUUUGGGUUGGGGGUGUAGUUCUUAUCUUCUUGCGCUUCUACUGGUGGAUUUUUGGGUUCUUAGUACGAGCUGAGUUGUUGCCCCUGCAGAAAAAUCUUACGAUCGUAGUUGUUGAUAGAAUUUUAUGGGAUUCCUCUAGAAAAAUUAAGGUACAUCCUGAAGUCCUUACCUUCAUCUUUUAUGGACACAUCUGCUAUUUUUUCCAAGUACAAAAGCAUCAUUACGUUUAUAAUGUCCUCAUCAUUGAUGGCAAAGUCACAGCCUUGAGAUGUUUAUAGUCUAGGACCCUUUUUCAUUGAAUAUUAGAAAGAGGGUAUUAGAUUUAGCCACUUGACAUAAUUCUAAAUAGAAGGUUAAGAAAUAUUUUCUACCUAGAACACUAAAAUUCUUUGUUGGUUAAUAACAUGCACUGACUGCUUGUGCAUUAUUCUACCAAGAAAUAAACAAGCCUCAAAUACUAAAGUCAUUCCUCUUGAAAGAAGUUUACAAUAGAUCACUAUGUAGUAGAGGAAAAAAAAAUAAAUGCAAGGAAACAAUUUUAAGGUGCAUAUGCACCAAAGUUCGAGUGUUUCCUUUGUCCCCCAAUGCUCAUGGGGGUGGAGAGUUUAUAAUACAGCUAAGAAGGGCAACUAUCUUUGGUGAGCACAGUAUGCCGCCAGGAUUGGUAGUAGAGAAUGCCCGUAUGCAGACGGUGGAGCUCAGUUUCAUCACAUCUGUUAUAGGGAUCUUGACAGCUUGGGACACCUAAGGUUUUCUUUCUGCUUCGGCAGUAUCCUGCGUGAUGUUUUUUAGCUGAGAGCCCCCACCUCCGAGUUUCCUCAAGAUCAAUUUCGACGAAUCUGUCUUGGAUGGAGGUACAUGGGGCAGUGUGAGUUUUGUUAUUCGGGGCCCGUCUACCAGAGUUGUGACUGCAGGAGGCAAUCAACUCUUCGACACAUCGGUUCCGGGUGUGCAGAACUGCGGGACACUUGGGCGGGUCUUUGUCACGCCCGGUGUAUCUUACAGGCUAGUUUCAUUGUCCUAGAGGGGGACUCGGUCACCGUCAUCAGUUGGAUCCGGAGGAGUUCGAGGGGCUACGAUUGGAUCCACCCUUUACUGUGAGAUAUUUGGGCUAUGAUGAGAGAUGGCGAGGCCUUUCAGACCAAGUAUAUGUUCCAUGAAGCUAAUAGGGCUGCGGAUUGAGCGGCUGCUUAUGUAGCCAGCCAUUCCGGUAGCACCUUAUAGGCUAGUGAUGGAGAGUUGCCCUUGGCACUCCGAGACAUUUUGUUUUUCAACUUUAUUGGGUGCAUCUAUACUCGUCAGGUAUGAUUAACCUGCUUUGGAUACCUAAUACCUACUUUAUACCUUCCCAAUGAGAUUCUGUUUCUGAUGUGGCUUUUUUGCCAAAUUCUGAGAUAGGCCAACAAAAUCUUGUUAUUCUUGAAUGGAUUGAUUAGAGUUGAAAGACUUAUUUUUCCUUAUCCAAUGCCCGAGCCAUGUUUAUUUGGCUGAUCAUGACAUUACCAAACUCGAGAUCAUGGGAUGAACCCAACUUACCAGCAAAAAGAAAUGCUCUGUUUUCUUUUUCAAGUAAAAGAGGAGAAGAAUAACAAGAAUGGGAGGUAGGAAAAGAAAUGCUGUGAAACCACUUCCCAUGAUAUGGCCUUGUCCUUUGGCUAGUUUUUGGGAUGUUAUUCAACACAAUAGAAAACCAUAUAUUGGACUGGGAAUAUAUCAAAAUAAGUAUCAUGAAGCUUAAGUAGGCUUGCAUGUGCAAUUCAUUUUUGUGAUGACAUUGUUUAGAAAAUUUUGCUUCGAGGGAUUUAUGCCUCGAGGUCUGUUCUUCGUGUCUCUAUGUUUAGCAUAUAAUUCUUCAAAUAGUCGCAAAUUUUAGAACUAAAUUUGCAACACAUUGCAGAGGAGUAAAUUUUUCGAUCUGACUUUAGAGGCUAGACUAGUGCUAAGAAGGCUAGCAUAUAAAAUAUAGAUCAGGACAUCAUGAGAAGACCAAUGAUCCUUCAGUGAGUUGGAGUUGGGCUAGACUAAUAAUUGAUGCUUGGUUGCAAGCUUCAAGUGAAACAACUUUGGUCCAAGAUGGAUAUAAGAAAAUGAAAUUGAACCCAGAUCAUUUUCAUGGGUUAGACAAAAUUUUGGCAUCAAAUAUACUCUUUGCGGCUUGUUGCUUGACGAGAUUUAGUGAUAGGUUAGGCGUGGACCUUUGCUCUCUAGACGAGGUAGAUAGAUUGAGGUUGAAGCAUUGCAUAAUAAAAAUCGUUGAAUAUUGGGAACUAAAUAAGAUCAUUGCAAUCUAGAAGGUUAGUUUCUAAUGGGUUUAACACCCCAGCUACCACUUUGCGCGCCAUCUAACUACCACUUUGCGCGCCAUCUAACUGCAUGAAUAUAUUGGUAGGGAGUGGUUGGGACAGGGCAUAUGGGUUUGCUCAGAUUAAAGCGAUGCUUUCCCUAUAAUAUGGAUGAAACAUUGCCCACACUGUCUUGCAUCAAUUAUCUUUUUUGAAGAGAAAUUGAGGGAGAGGGGCUGGGUGGCUGCCCAUGCGGCUCACCACUCAAGGUACACCCUCUCAUCAGAAGAGGAGGAGCUGCCACAUGCACUCCGCAAAUUAGUGUUUUUUGACUUUAUUGGGUGUAUUCGUACACGUAUUGUAUGAAGAACCGCUUCAGAAAAAAAAAAGAAAAAAAAAAGAAAGAGAAAUUGAGGGAGACAUGUUGGAUUUUCUAGGGAUGCACUAUCCAAGAAUGAAAUCUAGAACUUUGGUUGCUAAGUAGAGGGGUGUGAUCACUUGUGUAUGCCCUAGUUCAUGCAAUUAGAAAUUUAUUAAGAUAGAUAGUAUAUUACGGUUAGGUUUAGAAGUAUAUCACUAUAUUGAGCUACUCGAUGAAACAUUGCCCAUACUAUCUUGCAUCAAUUAUUUUUUCUGAAGAGAAAUGAAGGUAGACAUAUUAUAUUUUUGGGGAUGCACUAUCCAAGAACCAAAUUUAGAUCUAAGUAGAGGGGUGUGACCACUUGUGCAAGCUCUAGUUCAUAUAAUUAGAAAUUUAUUAAGAUAGUAUAAUAGAUAGUAUAUUAUGGUUAAGUUUAGAAGUAUAUCACUAUAUUAAGUUACUUGAAUAAUUUAGAGAAGAUUAUAGUGGCACCCUCUUAAUUUUGGACACAUCCUAGAGACUCCUUCUUAACUUUAAAAAGUUUCAAACCGACCUUCCAAAUUUUUAAAUCGUUCCAAUACGGCCUCUCCGUUCAUCUCUAUUGAUAGAGCGGUAGCAUGUGAUCAUCACAUAAUAGCAUAAAAUGGGUAUAGGACAAAAAUACCCUUGAUAUGUAUUAAAUGGGAUAGAACCUCAAAGGAUCUUUCGUGCAAAAUAGACUUACUGUUUGGCUUAUAGUUAAGGAUCACCCAUUGCACAAAUCUCAAAGCACUCCAAAUCCUUUCAUUCAUCUACUUACGUAAAUCUCAAAAAACUCUUAUUAUAUGACCCAUGGUUAAACUAUAGAAAUUCCUUCAUUCAUUUGACUGCACAUAUCUCAAAGCAUCCUUAACAUAGGAUCCAUAAUUAAUGAUCAUCCACGUGCGGAUCUCAAAGCACUCUGGACCCCUUUAAUUCUUCCACCUGCAUAGGUCUCAAAGGGCCCUUAAUAUACGACUCUUAGUUAAGAAUCACCUACCAUACAAAUCUCAAAGCACUCUGAACAUCUUUAUUCAUCCACGUACAUAUAUCUUAAGGCAUCUUUGCUAUAUGACCCAUAGUUUAGAAUCACCUACUACACAAAUCUCAAAUCAAUCCAAACCUCUUAAUCCAUCCACAUGCACAGAUCUCAAAGCAUCCUUGCAUGCGGACAAUACUUAACAAUCACCCGUUGCAUAGAUCUCAAAGUACUCCAAACUCCUUCGUCCAUCUGCCUUCAUAGAUCUCAAAGUAUCAUUAGUAAAUGGCUUAUAAUUAAGGAUCAUCUAAGAUGCAAAUCUUAAAGCACUCGAGAUCCCUUCAUUUAUUUGCUUGCCUAGAUGUCAAAGCUUCCCUUAGCAUAUGUAGCCCAUAAACUAAAGAUCACCCAUGGUAAAUAUCUCAAAACACUUCGAACUCCUUCAUUCAUAUGCUUGCAAAGAUCUUCAGAGCACCCUUAGUAUAUAUCUUAUAGUUAAAGAUCACCAACCGCACAGAUCUUAAAGCGUCCUGGACUCUUUUAUUCAUCCACCUACAUAGAUCUCAAAGCAUCCAUAGUAUAUGACUCAUAGUUAAGGAUCACCCAUCAUAUAGAUCUUAAAGCACUCCGAAUUCUUUGAUUCAUCGGUUAGAAGACAUCCAUAGAUGUUUGAAGAGAGUGAGGGUAUUUUGGUCAAUUCUAAUUGUAGGCUAAUAGUGUUGGUUGGUUAGAGAGCUGGAGGACUGCUUUGGAAUGAUAUGAAAACUUGGAGGAUCAAUUUGAAAUUUUUUAAAAUUUAGGGGAUGUCUUGGGGACAUAUCCAAAGUUGAGGAGGUAUCACUAAAUUUUUUUCAAAAUAAUAUAGGUUUUCUGCCUACAUACCCUCCUAAAUAUUAGAAUUUGCAUGAAUACCCUUUCAAAAUUGAUAUUUGCAUAUAUACCAUCAUAAAACACUUGUUUUGUAUGUAUACCCUUCUUUUUUCUUAUUUUUUGCAUAGGUUCCAUGUCAUCUAACGUCGUUAAAAAGUUACUGGUUUAAAAUUAAAAUGAUGAAAAUAUCCUUAAUGGGUAAAAUGCAAAAAGAAAUAUUUAUAAGGGUAUACAUGUAAAUAGCAAUUUUGGAGGAUAUUCAUGUGAUUUCAUAUAGUUAGGAGGGUAUACACACAGAGAAAAAUCAUCUGAUUUUUUGAAUAUAUACCCUCCUAAAUAUUAGAAUUUACAUAAAUACCCUCCAAAAUAGAUAUUUACAUCAUGCCCUCACCAAACACUAUAUUUGUAUGAAUACCUUGGGCUUAGUGAUUCAAUUAACAUGAUUUGCCAAAAUAAUAUUUAUUUAAAUUCAAAAUUAAUUAAAAUUAUAAAAUUAUUUUUUACCCCUCAAGGAGGUAACAAAUUAAUGGGUCUCGCUGGAAACUAGUAUCUCUACCUCCUUUGAGAAGUUUUUCGAUCUGUCUCGAUCCCUCUAUUUCACUUCUCUAUCCAGAAUCAAAACUAUUCUCUCGACUCGCUUCUCUACUAUAGGCAACCCUUCUCUCUCUCUUCUGUUCGUCGGAGUUCUCACCACCGAAAUUGGAGUCCCUCUCAUUACUACUGAAGUUCUCCUUUUGUUCUAUCCUUUUUUAAUGAAGAUGGUUAGGUCCUAUCUUUAGCUUUAAGAAUUAUUUUAAAAAAAAUAUUGUGAGAUAUUUAUAAUAUUUAGUGUAUGAGAUUUGCAAUGUUUAUCUUUUAGAGCUGAAAAAAUUUUCGUGCACAAACUGGUGGUUGAUUUAAAAUUAUUGUGAUGAGAUGGGCCCUACACACUAAAUUUUUUUUCUAGAAAAUUGAAGCUCCAAAAAAAAGUAGCUUAAAGUAUACAACUUAAGGGAUGACCUUCUACCACAUAGCUGCAUAGGUUGUUAAUAAGUUUGAAGGAUUCUAAAAAUCUUCAAUGAUUUUGUUUGGGAAUGAUUGAUGUUGUUCUUCCAUCUAUGAGCACAGCAAUAACAAGAAAGCUUGAUCAUUGCAAUAUAUCGUGUGAAUUUAAGAGAUUCUAAUUUCUUUUUAUAUUCUAAUAUAUGUCCUCAUAUAUGCAUCUAUAACAAUAAAUAUUACAAGCUAUGUUUCGAUAAAAUAAGAUAUAGUGGUUGUUAUAAAUGAAGAAAAAUAAAAUAGAAUAAUUUCAUGAUUAGUGAAAGAACUUUUAUAGCUCUUUUUGUUAUCUAAAUGUUGAAUCAAUAUUUUUCUUAAGUAAUAUUUUACAAAAAAUAUUGAGGAUCAAGCACUAGACUAAAGCCCUAGUGUUAAAACAAGUUAAAAUAGAUAAAAAUAAAAUUACUUUUUAUAUAAAUCGUUCUAAAUAUAUGAAAUUGCAUGAAUACCCUCGCAAAGUUACUAUUUAUAUAUAUACCGUUAUAAAUGUUUCUUUUUACAUGUCUACCUAUUAAGGGUAUUUCAAUCAUUUUUAAUUUUAAACUGCUAAUUUCGUAACGACGUUAUAUGGUGUGGGCAUAUAUGCAAGAAAAAAGAAAAAAAAAGUAUACAUACAAAAUAAGUAUUUUAUAAGAAUGUUGUACCUGCAAUAUUAAUUUGGAAAGGGUAUUCAUGCAAAUUUUAAUAUUUAGAAGGAUAUGUAAAUAAAAACACCCAAUAAUAUAUAGUUCAGAAAUAUAUAGUGUUACAAUGUAGUUCUCCAAAACAAAUUUUAAUACAUAGUUUUAUAUACACAAAUAUGUAUUACUUGUAUAUAUACUCCCCCCCUUGGCUUUGUCAGCAAAUCUUCUCUUAUCAUGUUUUAGGAUAAACCUUGAAAAUUGUUGUUUGUUUAUAACUAGAUAAUAUAUAGCCCUUUCUUGUAAUCCUUUAAAAAUGCAAAACAUGUACUACUGGGAGGAUUUACGAAGUAAGACCCUCAAAAUUUUUGAUGGUUCUAGAAGCACCAUUAUUUUUUUUCUUUUUUUUUCUUUUUUAUCGUGGAGUCACAUCAAAAGUUAUCGUGAGUUUAGUUGGAUUAGAAAGCUAUCAUCCCCAAUCAAUUUGUUUUGUUGGAAUUGAAUUUUGCUUGGUUACUCAGUCAAUGUCAUAUCUCUCCUCCUCUCCUACCAAUCAUUCUUCUUCUUAGCCCUUGCAAGUUCAUCCUCCACUUCCCGUGUACAGUUUAUAUGACACUUGGACCUUCAAAUUUUUUGGGGACUUGGAUGUUUUGUCCAUCCAUCGGCUCUCAUGUAGAGUUGGUGACUAACCAAUUUUGGACAUAGAAAAUAUUAAAUUAUUAAAUUUCAAAUAAGUCCAGCCCAAGUCUAACUAAAAAUGAAUAUAAUUAGGUCAAAAGCCCACACGGGAUGGCAGACUGAGCAAGCCGAAGUGCUGCACACGGCCGUUGCGACGGCCAGACGGCAGUGGCGCCUGUGCGCCGUGGCAAAGACAGGAGCGUGCCGGCUCCGUCAGGGACGAACGGUGCGCGGCAUGUCUGCCGCGAGUCAACGGGCUAGCGCAGAGCGGAGCAGAAGGACCGCUGCGACAACAACAACCCCAUCCCUACCACCUCAGUGGGGCAUCCACCUAAAGUCCACCCUUAGGGUUCCAAAGCACUGAGAAGUAUUGCAAACGGGAACGACCCGGACGGGCGUCCUGGUCGCACGGGAUGCGCAUCCCCGGCCGUUAGGAUCGCGCUUCUCGGAAGGGCGGAGCGAGGAAGCCGAAGUACUGUGCACGCCGCUGAUAUGGCCGUCCGACAGCGACUACCGAGCGCCGCGGCAAAGAUAGGAGCGUGCCGGAUUUGCCGUGGUUGUAAGGUGCACGGCACGUCCGCCACGAGCCAACAGGGCUUGCGCGGCGCGGAAGGCCCGUUGCGAUGACUUGCCCCUACCACUGCAGCGAGGCAUCCGCCCCAAUGCCCACCCCGAAGGUUCUAAAUUACUGAGGAGCAUUGUAAACGGAGCCGGCCGGGACGUGCGUCCCGUUCAGACGAGUCGCGGGUUCUGCACCGGCCUCCGAUUACAUCUACUCUCCUACUCUAAUACGAGCCAUAUAAGAUUUUAAUUAGUCCAUCCAGCAUUGAAGAUUUUUGAAUCUAGCAAAUCUAUUUCUUAAUACAUUUAUGCUUGAGAAUCAAAUUUGAUUUUUUCCAAGUAAAUUGAGGUAGAUUGGUGGGUAUGGGAUAAAAAUCACGAGCCGCGAUUUUUCAUCUUCAAGGUUGGAGAGUUCAAUAUCACUGUCCAUGAAAUAUUUAAUUUUCUGAUCAAACCCCCUCUUUACUCCUUUAUUUCAGUUUUAGCCCUAAGUCUAUGCUCACAUUUCCCAUUCCAUCUGUGGCGGUAAAGAAAGAGUAAUAAAAUAUAAAUAAAUUAAUAUAUAACCAAAAUAGGAAAGAGCGAGCGAGAGAGAGAGAGAGAGNNNNNNNNNNNNNNNNNNNNNNNNNNNNNNNNNNNNNNNNNNNNNNNNNNNNNNNNNNNNNNNNNNNNNNNNNNNNNNNNNNNNNNNNNNNNNNNNNNNNNNNNNNNNNNNNNNNNNNNNNNNNNNNNNNNNNNNNNNNNNNNNNNNNNNNNNNNNNNNNNNNNNNNNNNNNNNNNNNNNNNNNNNNNNNNNNNNNNNNNNNNNNNNNNNNNNNNNNNNNNNNNNNNNNNNNNNNNNNNNNNNNNNNNNNNNNNNNNNNNNNNNNNNNNNNNNUCAAAAAAUCUUUAAUUUUUCAGUCGGAGUUGGAGAUCUGUUAGGGUUUUUGGCUGGAUCUUGGUGGAAUAGGGAAGGAGGUUCCUGGAUUGGGCCGGUGUCAGCUCGAUUCGGUACUCGCUGUGAUCUCUCUUUAAGGGGUUUGGAAAUGGGUAAAUCAGUGGUUCGGUAAAUUUUGGGGAUUUCUUCAGUUCCGACCGUUGGGGAGAAGCGGAAUUUUAGCUUAGGUGGUGGGUGUUUUUUGGGAUCCGAUGGCAUCUCCUCCUCCGUUCCAGGCGGAGGACCAGACGGACGAGGAUUUCUUCGACAAGCUCGCGGAUGAUGAGUUUACGAUCGAUGGAUCUCAGUCCAGGGCUCCGGAUAUGGCGAAAGAUUUGUCUAAUCUCAGCCUAGGUGACGUUGGUACCUCGUUGGAGGAUUCGGGAGAGGCUGGGCUUGCCUCCGAAGUGGAAGACCGGCAGGAAAACAGGACCUUGAAGUCUUCUUGGGCUGCCAAAAGGACAGCUUGGAUGCAGAAGGGAGCAUGCUUUCUGAUUCUUCUGAUGAUAAGGCGGUCCGAUCGGACAGUUCUGCGGAGCCUGCUACUGAGAUUGGUUCGCAAGGUUCAUCGACGAUGAAGAGUGGUGGAUCAAAGGGGACCAGUGUGAAAGAGGUGCAGUGGAGCGCUUUCAGUGUCAGCUCACAGCAAUUUGACAAUGGAGGGUUUGAACCCUAUUCCAACUUCUUAACUGAGAACGCUGAUGGGUCUGCUAAUAAGCUGAAAGCUGAUGCUGACCCGAAUUCUAGUUUCAUAAGAAACACGGAUGAAAAUCUAAAUACAUAUGUUGGUUACUCUGAACAACAAGGCAACCAAUUCUAUAGCUCAGGUAACGAGCAGAUGGCAGAUGGAAAUGCUGCACAGUAUUGGGAAAGCCUUUACCCAGGUUGGAAGUACGACCCAGGUACUGGGCAGUGGUAUCAAGUGGAUGGUUAUGAUACAGGCAUCACUGGACAAAUGGACAGCUAUAAUGCAGCGAGUGUAGCCCAAGAGAGCUUUGAAGAGAAGGCUGCUACUGUUGCUGUUGGGCCUAUUCUUGAGGGAUCCAAUGUUUCUUAUCUGCAGCAAAGUGCUCAGUCAGUGUUGGAGACCAUAGCAGAGGAUAGUACAUUGAGUAGUGUUUCUAACUGGAAUCAAGUUUCUCAGGAGAGUACAGAAUUCCCAUCUAAUAUGGUGUUUGAUCCUCAAUACCCAGGAUGGUAUUAUGACACAAACACUCAGCAGUGGUAUACCCUUGAGUCAUAUACUCAGACCACACAGAUAGCAUCUAGUACAGUUCAGGAUGAGGUGACUCGAGUUGUGCAUUCCUCAGCUGGUUUUUCAGAACAAAACCAAAGUUUAUAUGAUGAAGUUGGCCAAUCCGGCCAAUACUCCGUUUGGAGCCAGGGCAGCCAAGAUUUUGGAGGAGUUUGGAAUUCUUCCACAAGUAACUACAUGCAACAGAGUAUGUGGCAGCCUGAAACAGUUUCUGAUAAUAAACACAUUGGAGAUUUCCCUGGAAAUCAGCAGUUGAGGAGCUUUUACAGUUCAACAGGGCAUGCAGGAAGUCAAACAGAUCAACAAGCAGGUCUCAAGACCUUUGAGCCCUCUGUAGAUCAUAACUAUGUCAGAAGUAAUGGUGUGGCCAGAUCUCAGGGCUUUGUUCCUCACGAAAGCACAUACCAGUUUAAUCAGCCAAAGGGGGAGCAGGGCCUGCAGUCACAUUUAUCUAACAGUUAUUAUGGCAGUCAGAGCUCAAUAGACUAUUCUCAGCAACCAUUUCAGGGUGCUAAUGCGUCUUAUUCUCAGUUCUCUUACACUCCUCAUGAAGGGAGAUCAUCAGCUGGACGUCCUGCACAUGCAUUGGUUACCUUUGGAUUUGGUGGGAAACUCAUAAUCAUGAAAGAUGCCAACUCUUUUGGCACAAUUGAUUAUGGAAGCCAGGUGGGCUUCAAACAUGUUUCACUUCAAUCUAGCUAAUAAGAAUCAUUAUUAAUUGUUUUAGAAACUUUCAGGUUUUGCUGUGACUUUGUAAGAUCAUUCAAGAGUAGCCUUUCUCCAACUAAACCUUGUUUAUUUGUGCAUUUUAAGGGCACUGCUGCUGGAGCAGUCUCAGUUCUAAACUUAGCAGAAGUUGUCAUGGAUAAAACUGAUGCAUUCAGCACCAUUAGUGGUGGUGCCUUUGGUUACUUUCAUUCUUUAUGCCAACAAUCCUUUCCUGGUCCGCUUGUUGGUGGGAAUGCUGCAACAAAGGAUAUAAACAAAUGGAUCGAUGAGAGGAUUGCGAGUUGUGAAUCUCCUGGCAUGGUCUUCCAGAAAGGCGAACUUCUGAGAUUACUUCUUUCAUUACUGAAAAUAUCAUGUCAACAUUAUGGAAAACUUCGAUCUCCUUUUGGAUCUGAUCCUUCACUAGAGGUAGUCGUUCUCUUAUCUUAAUGCAAUAUUAAAUUUUUAGUAUAUCUUAUUGCAGUUAGAUGAUUGCGUCUUGAAAUUAUCUAUGCAUUUAGAUCUUUAUCCUUUCUUCCUGCUUGUGCAAUUGUGUUUCACAGUUUACAUAUUUUCCUCUCAAUCUUCUUCUUCAUGUUAAAAAAAAUGGUGAUCUGUUGGAUCAUUUAUGAACUUCUACAAAGUUUCCACACAUUCCCUUUUUCAUAAAUUUUGUCUGGAUCUACUUGAGCAUCUUCAUUAUUUUGUUGGGAAUACUCAUUUUUCUUCUGCAAAACGUGCACCUCCUAAUGCUUGUUGAGGUAAAAGAGAGCUCUGUGCCUGAUUAUAUUCUUGUGUAAUUCCUUUUUCAAACUAAAAUUACAAAGUUGUGCUGGAAAAUAGCCAAUUCAAAAGUAUCAUGUUGGCAUAAGAGAUAUAGACUCGUUCUAUUCUUUUCCUUAUUUGUAUGCUUCUAAUAACAAAGUUACAAUAACCCAUGCCAAUGUUAGAGGCCUUAUGCCCAAACCACUUUGAGGCUUAAGCCUUUACCUUUGGAGGCUAAGAUGUCUUGCUGCUGCCCUUAGUCUGUCAGAAACCACAUGAAUGCUACAGAGAAUUGCUUUCUAUACUCAUAGUGCUUCUAGUCAAGGUUGAAAUCUGACCUUUUACCUGUUAACUCCCAUCCCAAUUAAGAAGAGAGUAGAAAGGCAUCAGCUGUGUACCUUCUUGGGUUGCAGUUGGACUGAAUUAAGAACCUUUAUUAUACGGGAAAAAAAUAAGGCAGCGACCAACUAGAUAAAACUGUAGAUAUGAUCUUUGGAACAGAAGAGCAUGGUAAACUAGUCAUAGAAAUGUGAUAAACCAUGUUGGUGAAUUAGUAGAUAAUUAACAUAAAAAAGUAGAGUACUUAGUUAUUUUUUUUUGUGUGUGAGACUGUAUGUGUGCGUGACUGUGAAAGAAGGGUUGGAACAAUUGUGUGUUCCUAAGUCGUUUGUGUUUAGGGCCGGAAGUGGGCCGGGCCAGGUCGGACCACACCCCUCCCCAAGCCCGGCCCGAAAUUAUUUUUCGGGCUUCGGGCCGAGCCUAGGCCCGAACAGUUUUACAAAAACUCGGCCCGAGCCCAAUUGGGCCAGCCCGAUUGGACUAAAGUCCGCCAGGCCGAUCACGAGCCCGGCCCGAGCCCAUUUGGUUCCCAUAAUAGCUUCCAACAUGCUGUCAACCCUCUAUAAUAGCUUGAAAAGAAAAGACAAGCUGCAUGAUGUUAUCUAAAAGGAAAAAAGAAAAAAUAGCUUCAAAUAUGACAUGUAGCUUCAUCUGUUUAUCAGGCUCCAGAACCAAAAUUCCAGGUAGAGAAUCAUGAUAACUUCCAGGUAACGCAGCAUGAAUAAGAACCUUGGAUCCAAAAGAGAGAGAGAGAGAGAGAGAGAGAGAGAGCACAUAUUUCCAAACCCAUUUUGAGCCCAAAGCAGAGAUUGCACUAAAUCUUUCUCUUUUCUUCCCGAUUUUUCCACUAAAGAUCGCCAACAAACCAAUUUAAGUCAUAAUUCUUGCGUCCAGACAAAGAGAUCAGAGAGAAACAAAAUCCAAAUUCUUCCGUGAAGAUUCCCAAGUUCCCAUUUGAAACCUAAAAUUCGAGUGCAAUCGAAGAACCUAAACAUAAAUUUCAAGAUUUAAAAAUGUUUCACACCUCUUCCAGGGAUCGAAAGCCCUCAGAUCGCGAUGGGGGUGAGGAGGGGAAGAUCAUUCGUACCUCAAAACCUAGCUUUGCCGACAAUAGGGUGGUCGGGGCUCCUCUUCACCACUUCGCCGAGCUUGGACGGUCGACGACGACUGGCGAUCGGCGACGAGCCGACAAGGAGAAGCGGAGAAACCCUAGCUCCACGCCUCCACCGCUCGUUCGCUCUGACGCCUCUGCAAAUCCCAACCAAAAGGAAGAAGAUCAUUCGUACCUGAAAACCUAGCUUCGUCGACGAUAGGGUGGUCGGGGCUCCUCUUCACCACUUUGCCGAGCUUGGACGGUCAACGACGACGACUGGCGACCGGCGACGAGCCGACAAGGAGAAGCGGAGAAACCCUAGCUCCACGCCUCCACCGCUCGUCCGCUCUGCACCUCUGCAAAUCCCUCGGGCAACAACCAACUGGGUAGUCUGGGUUUAAGUUAAACCGCGAUUUGGCAAACCCCUGUGAUUCGGCAAACCGCGAUUCGGGCUACUCGGGCUGGAAGUGGGCUCGGGCUGGGCCGGGCCCGGGCCGGGCCAAUGAGAUACCCGUGCCUGGCCCGAAAUAGAAAUGGGCUUAAUUGUUCAGCCCGAGCCCGGCCUGAAAUGCAUUGGGCCUAGCGCAUAGCCCGGCCCGCGGGCGGCCCGACCCGAUGGGCUCCGGGCCAGCCCGAGCCCACUUCCAGUCCUAUUUGUGUUAUAUCUCUUGUGUUGCAUUAAUGCUUCAUCAAAUGAUCAAUAAAUGGGUGAAUGACCUCUAGCCCAUCUAAAGAAGCAUGAGAAACAGAUUCUGUUUUUCUAGCUCUAGAAAUGACCGUAAACAGUGACUGAAUGCACCUGUUUUAUACCUUCAGCUUAGGUUAACAUGAGAAUGUGCAAGCACUCGAAACUAUUCUAGAACACUUCAUCCGUAAUUCCUUUUAACCACUAAUAAACACAAGGAGAACAAAAGUGUCAAAUUACUGUAUGAAACCAAGCUACUUUAUCCACAAGAUUUCGGGGCAUCAAUCUUUCUUGAUACUGAAUGUUCAUAUUUUCUGAGCCGCUAGGUCAGUCAAAUUAAUUUGAAGCAUUUUAAAGUGCUUCAUGUGGGUGUUUGCCACUCUGCUUCAAUGUUUUAUCCCCCCCCCCCCCUCCCUCCUCCUCCUCCUCAAACAAAAACAAACAAACAAAAAAAAAACUGUAUGUACAAUGGACUCUUAAAAUGCCUUGCAAGAAGCCCCUUUAACUAAUUCUUUAACAGAAACAAAUUCUUGAUCAAGAACUUGUUCCCUAGGUGUCAAAAUAACAAGUUGAAGCAUGCUACUGAUUGCAUUGGGGGAUCAAAAGGCGCUAUGGUAUAUCAAAAUAGAUGAUUUAAGUAGGAAGCAGUUGGUGCAUGGGAAUGGAAAUGGAGAUUGGUUUGGUUAAUCAUGGUAGGAAAGUCAGAAGUUCUGCCGAAGGCAUGUUAAAGGAGAUUAUUUGAAAAUGAUGGAAUAUAGCUGUAAAUUAUAAUUAUUUGCAUUAACAAUCUUGAGGUCUUUGCUAGCUUGACUUGCUCGGAGUUUAGGGAAGCAGGAUUUUAUUUUUGAAAGCUAGAAAAUGUUUAGAUCUGUUAAAUUUGAAUAUAAGCAACAUUGUAGGAUUGAUGUUGGACAAAAAUAAGGUGAUUGUUAGCAGAACUAUGUAGAAUUUAGAGCAAAAACAGCCUUUUCAAAAUGCAUUAAACAUUUAGAAGAUCAGUUUUGGAGGUUUAAGACUGAUAACUAUAGAUGAAAAAGGAAAUUUGAUUUAAUAAAAUGCCCAUAUAAGGGAAUAAAGGCAAGCUUGUGUGCUUAUAGAUAUUAUAUCAUGGAACAUCGGCAUCUUGGGUUGGAGGGAAACAAAAAACAGAACCUCUUUGUGCAUGCUAAUAGCGUGUUUUUUUAGAAGACUGCCAUUAUAGGUUCAAGUUAGAAGCAUUGUUGAAAAGAAAAGAUAUUCUUUUUAUCCAGUGGAGUGCCAGUGGUAUGGGUGAGUGCCACCCUUUGAUUCGAGACAUCCGGGCCAUGAUCUGUGGCGAGGUGGCAUUCCAGGCUAAGCAUGUUUAUAGAGAGGCCAACUAGGCUGCAGACUAGGUGGCUUUAUAAGUGGCCAACCACUCCGGAGAUACCCUUUAUCGGAAAGAGGGAGUUGCCCAGUGCGCUCUAUGAUAAGUUGUCUUUUGACUUUUUUGAAUGUAUCUGUGCUAGAAUUGUAUGAAUCAUUUAUUUCAACCAAAAAAAAAGAAUAUCUCUUUUUCAUUUAAACAAGGUUUAUGCUAUCUGGAAUACUUUAUUGUUGGCAGGCCACCAUGUUUGGAUAAUAACUGCAAUAAAUGAUUUUGAUGAUUGGGCUUGGAGAGUGAAUGAGGAUUUGAGCAUUAUAUAUGAGUUCUUUUGGGAAAAAAAUUGAGGAGUGCUGAAAACAUGAAAAGAGUAAAAGACUUCAUCAAAGGAUUGAAUAUUUGCCUUAAGGAAACUAACAGAAAUUCAUGCAAUAAAAGAAAUGAGAGAGAUUUGCAAACUUGUAUAAGGGCAAAAGGAAAAGAAGAGAAAACAAAAUUUUGAUAAUAAUGAAGGCACACACAAUCACAAUACAAUUCAAGUGGAAGAUCUUCUAUUAAGGCAAGCUAAUACUUUAUAUCAAAAAUAAAGAACAAGUUUUUGAUGGGGGUGUUGUUGGGGCAUAAAGCAAAGUAUUUUGAACAAGUUCUGUAAAAUCAAGCCCAGUGUGUUGAGGUCGAGAAGAGAUAAGAGAUACUGAGCUGUUGAACUUCAAUAAUGUGAAAAUAACACCCAUUAUAGAUGGUUGCAAAUGAAAGGAGAAGAGUUAUUAGUUGUUAUGCGUGGUUUUGAGCAAUCAGAAUCUUGAGGAUGUGUUCUAAUCGAGGAGUGGGAAUGAGUAACAUAUCUUUUUUUAAGCUGCAGAGGAUAACUUGUUAGAGUUUAUUGACUUGUUGGGCAGGUGUCAGGGUGUAGACUCUUGCAAGUUGCUUAUAGG
rnacentral:lncRNA from 1 species